UACGUAGGUGGCGAGCGUUGUCCGGAUUUACUGGGCGUAAAGCGCGCGCAGGCGGUUCUGUAAGUCCUGGGUGAAAUCGCCCGGCUCAACUGGGCGGGGGCCUGGGGGACUGCGGGACUGGAGGGGCCUAGAGGCCGGUGGAACUCCCGGUGUAGUGGUGAAAUGCGUAGAGAUCGGGAAGAAUACCAGUGGCGAAGGCGGCCGGCUGGGGGCGCCCUGACGCUGAGGCGCGAGAGCGUGGGGAGCGAACCGG
rnacentral:rRNA from 1 species